rnacentral:tRNA from 2 species
GCCCCGAUAGCUCAGUGGUAGAGCACUUCCAUGGUAAGGAAGGGGUCGUCAGUUCAAACCUGACUCGGGGCUCCG